rnacentral:rRNA from 1 species
CCUGGCGGCCUUAGCGCGGUGGUCCCACCUGACCCCAUGCCGAACUCAGAAGUGAAACGCCGUAGCGCCGAUGGUAGUGUGUGGUCUCCCCAUGCGAGAGUAGGGAACUGCCAGGC